AGAGUUUGAUCCUGGCUCAGAACGAACGCUGGCGGCGUGUCUUAAGCAUGCAAGUCGAGCGGCAAGGCGGGGCAACCCGCCCUAGAGCGGCGGACUGGUGAGUAACACGUGGGUGAUCUACCCCUGGUUUGGGGAUAGCCCGUGGAAACAUGGGGUAAUACCGAAUACGACGGCAAGACUACGGUUUUGUCGGGAAAGGCGCUAAGGCGCCGACCGGGGAUGAGCCCGCGCCCCAUUAGCUAGUUGGUGAGGUAACGGCCCACCAAGGCGAUGAUGGGUAGCCGGCCUGAGAGGGUGUACGGCCACACUGGGACUGAGAUACGGCCCAGACUCCUACGGGAGGCAGCAGCUAAGAAUAUUCCGCAAUGGACGAAAGUCUGACGGAGCGACGCCGCGUGGAUGAAGAAGGCCGAAAGGUUGUAAAAUCCUUUUGUCGGGGAAGAAUAAGCGUGGGAGGGAAUGCCCGCGUGAUGACAUGAACCGGCGAAUAAGCCCCGGCUAACUACGUGCCAGCAGCCGCGGUAACACGUAGGGGGCAAGCGUUGUUCGGAAUUACUGGGCGUAAAGGGCAUGUAGGCGGUUUUGUAAGCCUGGCGUGAAAUUCUGCAGCUUAACUGUAGGACUGCGCUGGGAACUGCGAGACUGGAGUCACGGAGAGGGAGCCAGAAUUCCAGGUGUAGGGGUGAAAUCUGUAGAUAUCUGGAAGAAUACCAAUGGCGAAGGCAGGCUUCUGGCCGAUGACUGACGCUGAGGUGCGAAAGCGUGGGUAGCAAACAGGAUUAGAUACCCUGGUAGUCCACGCGGUAAACGAUGCACACUAGGUGCCGGGGCGGACGCUUCGGUGCCGGAGCCAACGUGGUAAGUGUGCCGCCUGGGGAGUAUGCUCGCAAGGGUGAAACUCAAAGGAAUUGACGGGGGCCCGCACAAGCGGUGGAGCAUGUGGUUUAAUUCGAUGGUACGCGAGGAACCUUACCUGGGCUUGACAUAUGGAGGGAUGCGGUAGAGAUACCGCAGCCGGGCAACCGGCCUUCAUACAGGUGCUGCAUGGCUGUCGUCAGCUCGUGCCGUGAGGUGUUGGGUUAAGUC
rnacentral:rRNA from 1 species